rnacentral:lncRNA from 1 species
AGGCAAGUUGGUGAGCUUUGGUGAAGCAAACAACCUUACAUGAUGUGAGUGGUCCUUGUGCCCAGUUGAAGCCAUGCACUGUGCACUGGAGAGGCAGAGCAUCCUGCCUUCCACAGCCGUGCACACCAGUCCCUGUGCACAAGUGGCCACCCACCCAGCGAAUCGACGUGGUGUGCUUAUCAAAAUCUGUGUGUCUGUGGGCCAGAGCCAAAUCCAGGAUAUUGACGGAUGUCCUUACUGGUAAGGCUGUCUGGGACUCUCAGUGAAAAGACCGGCCAUGUGUGCCUCCAGAUGGUACUAGAUCCAGGUGCUAGAACAAGAUGAGCAAGUGAAUCUCUCAUACUUCAGAUCCUUCAAGGAUCUUGAAAAGCAGAGCCCCAUCCUGAAUGCCCAGCGGUGCCCACAGCCAGGAGGAGCAUUCGAUGUGUGAUGACUCAUCUCGUGCAUCAGACGCUCUCUAAAGUUCCCACAGAUUAUACCAUGGCUUAGUGAGUGCGAUUCUAAGACAGUUCCAAAAGACUUUUCAAUCCGUGGGAGUUUCAAAGUGGAUUCUCAGACAAACAUGGGGAGGACUGAGGCAGGCUUGGACACGCACAGAAUCAGACAACGAUGGUCCGGAGUUCAAAUCCCUGCAACCACAUGGUGGCUCACAACCAACUGUAAUGAGAUCUGGCGCCCUCUUCUGGAGUGUCUGAAGACAGAUACAGUGUACUUACAUAUAGUAAAUAAAUAAAUCUUAAAAAAAAAAAAAA